rnacentral:rRNA from 1 species
GACGAACGCUGGCGGCGUGCUUAACACAUGCAAGUCGAACGGAAAGGCCCUGCUUUUGUGGGGUGCUCGAGUGGCGAACGGGUGAGUAACACGUGAGUAACCUGCCCUUGACUUUGGGAUAACUUCAGGAAACUGGGGCUAAUACCGGAUAGGAGCUCCUGCUGCAUGGUGGGGGUUGGAAAGUUUCGGCGGUUGGGGAUGGACUCGCGGCUUAUCAGCUUGUUGGUGGGGUAGUGGCUUACCAAGGCUUUGACGGGUAGCCGGCCUGAGAGGGUGACCGGCAACAGGGGGACUGAGCACGGGCCCAGCCUCCGGGGGGGGGCGGAAGGGGGAAUUUGUGCAAAGGGGGCGGGGCCCGGAUGCAGCACCGCCGGGUGGGGGGUGAGGGCUUUGGGUUUAUAAACCGCUUUCGCCGGGGAGGAAGGGGGAGGGAGGGUAGGGGGAAAAAAAGCCCCGGCUAACUAGGUC